rnacentral:rRNA from 1 species
GCGCACCAGUCGAGAAUCUUCCACAAUGGACGAAAGUCUGAUGGAGCGACGCCGCGUGAUUGAUGAAGUCCCUCUGGGACGUAAAGAUCUUUUAUGAGGGAAGAAGUUUAUUGACGGUACCUCAUGAAUAAGAGGCUCCUAAUCUCGUGCCAGCAGGAGCGGUAAUACGAGAGCCUCGAGCGUUAUCCGGAAUUAUUGGGCGUAAAGGGUGCGUAGGUUGUUCUGUUAGUCUUUUGUCAAAGCCCCGAGCUUAACUUGGGAUAUGCGGAAGAAACGGCAGAACUUGAAAGUGCGAGAGGCGUACGGAACUCAUGGUGUAGGGGUGAAAUCCGUUGAUAUCAUGGGGAACACCAAAUGCGAAAGGCAGUACGCUGGCGCAUACUUGACACUGAAGCACGAAAGCGUGGGUAGCGAAUGGGAUUAGAUACCCCGGUAGU